rnacentral:lncRNA from 1 species
AUUCUGCUUAUCUCUCACAUUGUCCAAUUGAUAGGAAAUUCCAUCCCGGUAGGAGUCCAACAUUAGCUUCAUCCUUGCGUUUUAGUUGCGAGAGAGAGAGAAGGAAAGAAUUUUUUGUGCUUAGAUAUAUUUUUUUGUUAAAUCAGAUGAAUCAUAUAAGUCUAGCACAAAUAUAAUCAUAAUAGUCAGAAAAUAAAACAUCAUGAAAUAAAGAAAGGGCACAGUGAGCAUAUGUCCAUAGUACAUCACCUGAGUGAUCAGCAACAAAGAAGAUGAUCCAAUCCACUACACUAUUCACCACUCGAUAAAUAUGCCCGAUGUCCGAAGAAGCACAACCUUUCCAAGUUCUCCGAGCGUUGCAUAAUAGGGA